rnacentral:rRNA from 1 species
CUCCCCGUUGCUGACCCCAGGUUCGAUAGCGCCAAUUAGGCGCCACCUCGCCAAGAACCUGCUUCGGUGAAGCGACGGGCGGUGUGUGCAAGGAG